rnacentral:rRNA from 1 species
GUAGGGAAUAUUGGACAAUGGGGGCAACCCUGAUCCAGCGACGCCGCGUGAGUGAUGAAGGCCUUCGGGUCGUAAAGCUCUGUUGCAGGGGAAGAACACAAUGACGGUACCCUGCUAGAAAGGAUCGGCUAACUUCGUGCCAACAGCCGCGGUAAGACGAGGGAUCCUAGCGUUGUUCGGAAUUAUUGGGCGUAAAGCGGGUGCAGGUGGCUUGGUAAGUCAGAGGUGAAAGCCUGGGGCUUAACCCGAGAAGUGCAUUUUAUACUGCUGAGCUUGAGUGCUGGAGAAGCUAUUAGAAUUCCUGGUGUAGUGGUGAAAUACGUAGAUAUCAGGAGGAAUACCGGAGGCGAAGGCGGAUAGCUGGCCAGACACUGACACUCAGACCCGAAAGCGUGGGGAUCAAACAGGAUUAGAAACCCUGGUAGUCC